rnacentral:rRNA from 1 species
GAUGAACGCUGGCGGCGUGCCUAAUACAUGCAAGUCGAGCGAACAGACGAGGAGCUUGCUCCUUUGACGUUAGCGGCGGACGGGUGAGUAACACGUAGGUAACCUACCUAUAAGACUGGGAUAACUUCGGGAAACCGGAGCUAAUACCGGAUAAUAUUUCGAACCGCAUGGUUCGAUAGUGAAAGAUGGCUUUGCUAUCACUUAUAGAUGGACCUGCGCCGUAUUAGCUAGUUGGUAAGGUAACGGCUUACCAAGGCAACGAUACGUAGCCGACCUGAGAGGGGAAUCGGCCACACUGGAACUGAGACACGGUCCAGACUCCUACGGGAGGCAGCAGUAGGGAAUCUUCCGCAAUGGGCGAAAGCCUGACGGAGCAACGCCGCGUGAGUGAUGAAGGUCUUCGGAUCGUAAAACUCUGUUAUUAGGGAAGAACAAACGUGUAAGUAACUGUGCACGUCUUGACGGUACCUAAGCAGAAAGCCACGGCUAACUACGU